UUCCUACGGGGGCAGCAGUGGGGGAUAUUGCACAAUGGGGGAAACCCUGAUGCAGCGACGCCGCGUGGGUGAAGAAGCGCCUCGGCGCGUAAAGCCCUGUCAGCAGGGAAGAAAAUGACGGUACCUGAAGAAGAAGCCCCGGCUAACUACGUGCCAGCAGCCGCGGUAAUACGUAGGGGGCAAGCGUUAUCCGGAUUUACUGGGUGUAAAGGGAGCGUAGACGGCAAUACAAGUCGGAAGUGAAAUACCCGGGCUCAACCUGGGAACUGCUUUGGAAACUGUAUGGCUAGAGUGCUGGAGAGGUA
rnacentral:rRNA from 1 species